rnacentral:rRNA from 1 species
UAACCGGCGAUUUCCGAAUGGGGAAACCCAGUGUGAUUCGUCACACUAUCAUUAACUGAAUCCAUAGGUUAAUGAGGCGAACCGGGGGAACUGAAACAUCUAAGUACCCCGAGGAAAAGAAAUCAACCGAGAUUCCCCCAGUAGCGGCGAGCGAACGGGGAGCAGCCCAGAGCCUGAAUCAGUGUGUGUGUUAGUGGAAGCGUCUGGAAAGGCGCGCGAUACAGGGUGACAGCCCCGUACACAAAAAUGCACAUAUUGUGAGCUCGAUGAGUAGGGCGGGACACGUGGUAUCCUGUCUGAAUAUGGGGGGCCCAUCCUCCAAGGCUAAAUACUCCUGACUGACCGAUAGUGAACCAGUACCGUGAGGGAAAGGCGAAAAGAACCCCGGCGAGGGGAGUGAAAAAGAACCUGAAACCGUGUACGUACAAGCAGUGGGAGCACGCUUAGGCGUGUGACUGCGUACCUUUUGUAUAAUGGGUCAGCGACUUAUAUUCUGUAGCAAGGUUAACCGAAUAGGGGAGCCGAAGGGAAACCGAGUCUUAACUGGGCGUUAAGUUGCAGGGUAUAGACCCGAAACCCGGUGAUCUAGCCAUGGGCAGGUUGAAGGUUGGGUAACACUAACUGGAGGACCGAACCGACUAAUGUUGAAAAAUUAGCGGAUGACUUGUGGCUGGGGGUGAAAGGCCAAUCAAACCGGGAGAUAGCUGGUUCUCCCCGAAAGCUAUUUAGGUAGCGCCUCGUGAAUUCAUCUCCGGGGGUAGAGCACUGUUUCGGCAAGGGGGUCAUCCCGACUUACCAACCCGAUGCAAAC